UGGCUCAGAUUGAACGCUGGCGGCAGGCCUAACACAUGCAAGUCGAGCGGUAGCACAGAGAGCUUGCUCUCGGGUGACGAGCGGCGGACGGGUGAGUAAUGUCUGGGAAACUGCCUGAUGGAGGGGGAUAACUACUGGAAACGGUAGCUAAUACCGCAUAAUGUCGCAAGACCAAAGUGGGGGACCUUCGGGCCUCAUGCCAUCAGAUGUGCCCAGAUGGGAUUAGCUAGUAGGUGGGGUAACGGCUCACCUAGGCGACGAUCCCUAGCUGGUCUGAGAGGAUGACCAGCCACACUGGAACUGAGACACGGUCCAGACUCCUACGGGAGGCAGCAGUGGGGAAUAUUGCACAAUGGGCGCAAGCCUGAUGCAGCCAUGCCGCGUGUGUGAAGAAGGCCUUCGGGUUGUAAAGCACUUUCAGCGGGGAGGAAGGCGUUAAGGUUAAUAACCUUGGCGAUUGACGUUACCCGCAGAAGAAGCACCGGCUAACUCCGUGCCAGCAGCCGCGGUAAUACGGAGGGUGCAAGCGUUAAUCGGAAUUACUGGGCGUAAAGCGCACGCAGGCGGUCUGUCAAGUCGGAUGUGAAAUCCCCGGGCUCAACCUGGGAACUGCAUUCGAAACUGGCAGGCUAGAGUCUUGUAGAGGGGGGUAGAAUUCCAGGUGUAGCGGUGAAAUGCGUAGAGAUCUGGAGGAAUACCGGUGGCGAAGGCGGCCCCCUGGACAAAGACUGACGCUCAGGUGCGAAAGCGUGGGGAGCAAACAGGAUUAGAUACCCUGGUAGUCCACGCCGUAAACGAUGUCGAUUUGGAGGUUGUGCCCUUGAGGCGUGGCUUCCGGAGCUAACGCGUUAAAUCGACCGCCUGGGGAGUACGGCCGCAAGGUUAAAACUCAAAUGAAUUGACGGGGGCCCGCACAAGCGGUGGAGCAUGUGGUUUAAUUCGAUGCAACGCGAAGAACCUUACCUGGUCUUGACAUCCACAGAACUUUCCAGAGAUGGAUUGGUGCCUUCGGGAACUGUGAGACAGGUGCUGCAUGGCUGUCGUCAGCUCGUGUUGUGAAAUGUUGGGUUAAGUCCCGCAACGAGCGCAACCCUUAUCCUUUGUUGCCAGCGGUUCGGCCGGGAACUCAAAGGAGACUGCCAGUGAUAAACUGGAGGAAGGUGGGGAUGACGUCAAGUCAUCAUGGCCCUUACGACCAGGGCUACACACGUGCUACAAUGGCAUAUACAAAGAGAAGCGACCUCGCGAGAGCAAGCGGACCUCAUAAAGUAUGUCGUAGUCCGGAUUGGAGUCUGCAACUCGACUCCAUGAAGUCGGAAUCGCUAGUAAUCGUAGAUCAGAAUGCUACGGUGAAUACGUUCCCGGGCCUUGUACACACCGCCCGUCACACCAUGGGAGUGGGUUGCAAAAGAAGUAGGUAGCUUAACCUUCGGGAGGGCGCUUACCACUUUGUGAUUCAUGACUGGGGUG
rnacentral:rRNA from 1 species